UACAGAGGGUGCGAGCGUUAAUCGGAAUUACUGGGCGUAAAGCGUGCGCAGGCGGUUAUGUAAGACAGAUGUGAAAUCCCCGGGCUCAACCUGGGAACUGCAUUUGUGACUGCAUAGCUAGAGUACGGUAGAGGGGGAUGGAAUUCCGCGUGUAGCAGUGAAAUGCGUAGAUAUGCGGAGGAACACCGAUGGCGAAGGCAAUCCCCUGGACCUGUACUGACGCUCAUGCACGAAAGCGUGGGGAGCAAACAGG
rnacentral:rRNA from 1 species